CCCGCUGCGGCCGUGGCGCUCCCGCCCUGCUGGGGCCGCGGCCUGAGGCGGAGCGGCCCUGGGCCGGGGGUGCAGGUGCCGUGCUCGGCCCGAGGGCCUUCCCUGGGGCUACUGGAGAUCCGGGGACUGCCCGCCGAGGUUCGUCCCGGGCUGCCUCAGGCCUUGGCAUCUGCCCAGGGCAGCGGGCGGAGGAUGCUCAGGCUGCUGCCGGUUUGUCACGCACGACGGUGCUGGUUGGUCGCUCCUGUUGUAAGCUGUGGGCGCCCUUAAAGACAGGAGAGUACAAAACUGGGGCAAACAACUGAAGAUGUCAUCCUGUUUGGCUCAGGAGGUUCACCUGGCUAGAAGACAUGAGGAGAUGAUAUAGAAGCAGCAGAAAAAAGGCUGCAAGAAAGAAUGUAUUUACUUCCACAUCCUGAUACUGUUAAGUUAGAAUUACAGACGAGGUACAUGCACGGAUACCAGGCGACCCCCAGCCGGUGCUCCAGCUUCCCUAGUCAUCCUCCUCAUCCUCCUCAUCGCUGUCCUUCAUGGUGAUGCCCUGGAGCCCCCCGCCC